rnacentral:rRNA from 1 species
GACGAACGCUGGCGGCGUGCUUAACACAUGCAAGUCGAACGAGGUCCAUGGUGCAGCAAUGCACCGGAAGACCUAGUGGCGAACGGGUGAGGAACACGUGAGAAACCUGCCCCGGACUCUGGGAUAACAGUUGGAAACGACUGCUAAUACCGGAUGCCGUCGCGAAGUGGCAUCACUUUGUGACGAAAGAAUUUCGGUUCGGGAGGGUCUCGCGGCCUAUCAGCUAGUUGGUGGGGUAACGGCCUACCAA